rnacentral:rRNA from 1 species
UACGUAGGUGGCAAGCGUUGUCCGGAAUUAUUGGGCGUAAAGCGCGCGCAGGCGGCCUCUUAAGUCUGAUGUGAAAGCCCCCGGCUCAACCGGGGAGGGCCAUUGGAAACUGGGAGGCUUGAGUAUAGGAGAGAAGAGUGGAAUUCCACGUGUAGCGGUGAAAUGCGUAGAGAUGUGGAGGAACACCAGUGGCGAAGGCGACUCUUUGGCCUAUAACUGACGCUGAGGCGCGAAAAGCGUGGGGAGCAAACAGG